CGCGUAGGUGGUUUGUUAAGUUGAAUGUGAAAUCCCCGGGCUCAACCUGGGAACUGCAUCCAAAACUGGCAAGCUAGAGUAUGGUAGAGGGUAGUGGAAUUUCCUGUGUAGCGGUGAAAUGCGUAGAUAUAGGAAGGAACACCAGUGGCGAAGGCGACUACCUGGACUGAUACUGACACUGAGGUGCGAAAGCGUGGGGAGCAAACA
rnacentral:rRNA from 1 species